CAAAAUUCUCCAACGUGUGCAUCAGGUUGUUAAGUGAAGCAGUAGGAUACAUUCUCCCAGUUCUUAGACAAGGUUAAACCCUCCUGAAAAUACUCAGAAGAUUAAAGGUACCAAGAAUUGUUUCCAACUCAAUGGAUAAAUGAAUAUAAAACUUACAAGACACAUGCUCUUGUAAUUCCUUUUAAAUUUUGAAAAAGGGAAGAAGAGUUGAAGAAGUUGGAGUGACUCAUAAAAUAUGUCAAUGAUGCAGUCAAAUAAACAGGACCACCUCAUCUCUUUCUGUUGUUUAUCAGGAUCAACGAUAUUUGAAAUCACUACUGUGUUGUGCUGCAUAUUUGGGAGUGAGGGAACCAAAUUAAGGUAUCCUUGGUUCAUUGUGGUUAAAUUGCUAUUUUAAUAAAAUAUUGAAACUCA